CAAAAGCUCAAAUUUGAAAUCUGGUACCUUCGGUGCCCGAGUUGUAAUUUGGAGAGGGCAACUUUGGGGCCGUUCCUUGUCUAUGUUCCUUGGAACAGGACGUCAUAGAGGGUGAGAAUCCCGUGUGGCGAGGAGUGCGGUUCUUUGUAAAGUGCCUUCGAAGAGUCGAGUUGUUUGGGAAUGCAGCUCUAAGUGGGUGGUAAAUUCCAUCUAAAGCUAAAUAUUGGCGAGAGACCGAUAGCGAACAAGUACAGUGAUGGAAAGAUGAAAAGAACUUUGAAAAGAGAGUGAAAAAGUACGUGAAAUUGUUGAAAGGGAAGGGCAUUUGAUCAGACAUGGUGUUUUGUGCCCUCUGCUCCUUGUGGGUAGGGGAAUCUCGCAUUUCACUGGGCCAGCAUCAGUUUUGGUGGCAGGAUAAAUCCAUAGGAAUGUAGCUUGCCUCGGUAAGUAUUAUAGCCUGUGGGAAUACUGCCAGCUGGGACUGAGGACUGCGACGUAAGUCAAGGAUGCUGGCAUAAUGGUUAUAUGCCGCCCGUCUGCC
rnacentral:rRNA from 1 species